rnacentral:rRNA from 1 species
GAUGAACGCUGGCGGCGUGCCUAAUACAUGCAAGUCGAACGAAACUUCUUUAUCACCGAGUGCUUGCACUCACCGAUAAAGAGUUGAGUGGCGAACGGGUGAGUAACACGUGGGCAACCUGCCCAAAAGAGGGGGAUAACACUUGGAAACAGGUGCUAAUACCGCAUAACCAUAGUUACCGCAUGGUAACUAUGUAAAAGGUGGCUAUACUACCGCUUUUGGAUGGGCCCGCGGCGCAUUAGCUAGUUGGUAGGGUAAGGGCUUACCAAGGUAAUGAUGCGUAGCCGAAUUGAGAGGUUGAUCGGCCACAUUGGGACUGAGACACGGCCCAAACUCCUACGGGAGGCAGCAGUAGGGAAUCUUCCACAAUGGGCGAAAGCCUGAUGGAGCAACGCCGCGUGGGUGAAGAAGGUCUUCGGAUCGUAAAACCCUGUUGUUAGAGAAGAAAGUGCGUGAGAGUAACUGUUCACGUUUCGACGGUAUCUAACCAGAAAGCCACGGCUAACUACGUG